rnacentral:rRNA from 1 species
AUUGAACGCUGGCGGGAGGCCUAACACAUGCAAGUCGAACGAGUGGCGGACGGGUGAGUAAUGUCUGGGAAACUGCCCGAUGGCGGGGGAUAACUACUGGAAAGGGUAGCUAAUACCGCAUACUAUCGGAUGUGCCCAUAUGGGAUUAGCUAGUAGGUGGGGUAAAGGCUCACCUAGGCGACGAUCCCUAGCUGGUCUGAGAGGAUGACCAGCCACACUGGAACUGAGACACGGUCCAGACUCCUACGGGAGGCAGCAGUGGGGAAUAUUGCACAAUGGGCGCAAGCCUGAUGCAGCCAUGCCGCGUGUAUGAAGAAGGCCUUCGGGUUGUAAAGUACUUUCGGCGGGGAGGCGUUACCCGCAGAAGAAGCACCGGCUAACUCCGUGCCAGCAGCCGCGGUAAUUC